ACGGGAGGCAGCAGUGGGGAAUAUUGGACAAUGGGCGAAAGCCUGAUCCAGCGACGCCGCGUGAGUGAAGAAGUAUUUCGGUAUGUAAAGCUCUAUCAGCAGGGAAGAAAAUGACGGUACCUGACUAAGAAGCACCGGCUAAAUACGUGCCAGCAGCCGCGGUAAUACGUAUGGUGCAAGCGUUAUCCGGAUUUACUGGGUGUAAAGGGAGCGUAGACGGCGAGGCAAGUCUGAAGUGAAAUGCGGGGGCUCAACCCCUGAACUGCUUUGGAAACUGUUUUGCUAGAGUGCAGGAGAGGUAAGUGGAAUUCCUAGUGUAGCGGUGAAAUGCGUAGAUAUUAGGAGGAACACCGGCGGCGAAGGCGGCUUACUGGACUGUAACUGACGUUGAGGCUCGAAAGCGUGGGGAGCAAACAGGAUUAGAUACCCUGGUA
rnacentral:rRNA from 1 species